rfam:Hordeum vulgare subsp. vulgare, WGS project CAJW01000000 data, contig: morex_contig_176871
CAUGUACUCCCUCCGUCCCAAAAUUCUUGUCUUAGUAUUGUCUAGAAAUGAAUGUAUCUAAAUACUAAAACAUGAGUAGAUACAUUCAUAUCUAAGACAAGAAUUUUGGGACGGAGGGAGUAGUAU